rnacentral:lncRNA from 1 species
CCUUCACGAGAAAGGAUGUGAGAACACAUCCAUUUGUGGAAAUUUUUAUCUAUUAGAUGUUCUAGAAUCAAUAUUAAAUCCUCUAUCCACAUGAAUUUUUGAGUAUUUUUUUGAUUACAUCCCUUCUCUGGUCGCGUGCACAGAGCAGGGUGCUGAUCGACGUAUCAUUGAUAAGAGUUCUUCUAUUUGAAAGAACCUUAUCUUUGAUAAUCAGAUCAGAUAGACCUCUUGGAUGAUGCGUGUCUCUAUCUUUUGGUAUCCCUCUGGUGGCUA